ACCUGCAGUCGAACGAGAAAGUGGAGCAAUCCAUGAGUAAAGUGGCGCACGGGUGAGUAACACGUGACUAACCUACCUUCGAGUGGGGAAUAACUCCGGGAAACCGGGGCUAAGACCGCAUAAUAUCGAGAGAUCAAAUGCGAAAGCAGCUUGAAGAGGGGGUCGCGGUUGAUUAGCUAGUUGGUGGGGUAAUGGCCCACCAAGGCAAUGAUCAAUAGCCGGCCUGACAGGGCGCACGGUCUCACUGAAACUGAAACACGGUCCUGAGUCCAACGGAGGCAACACUGGGGAAAUAUUCCCACUGGGGGAAACCCUAACGAAUCCUUCCACGAGGCGAUAAGGUGGU
rnacentral:rRNA from 1 species